rnacentral:rRNA from 1 species
AUUAGUAGUUGUCAGUAGUUUUGAUCCUGGCUCAGGAUGAACGCUAGCGAUAGGCUUUAACACAUGCAAGUCGGAGGGGCAGCAUUAUUCGAAGCUUUGCUUUGAAUGAUGGCGACCGGCGCACGGGUGCGUAACGCGUUAUGUAACCUGCCUGUCAGAAGGAAUAACCGGUGAAAGUCGGACUAAUACCCUAUAUGCUCACGAGAGGCACCUGCCUUUGGUGAGGAAAGAUUUAUCACUGACAGAUGGACAUGCGUCCCAUUAGCUGGUUGGUAGGGUAACGGCCUACCAAGGCAACGAUGGGUAGGGGAACUGAGAGGUUUAUCCCCCACAUUGGUACUGAGACACGGACCAA